rnacentral:rRNA from 1 species
AUUGAACGCUGGCGGCAUGCCUUACACAUGCAAGUCGAACGGUAACAGGUCUUCGGAUGCUGACGAGUGGCGAACGGGUGAGUAAUACAUCGGAACGUGCCCAAGAGUGGGGGAUAACGGAGCGAAAGCUUUGCUAAUACCGCAUACGAUCUACGGAUGAAAGCAGGGGACCGCAAGGCCUUGCGCUCAUGGAGCGGCCGAUGGCAGAUUAGGUAGUUGGUGGGAUAAAAGCUUACCAAGCCGACGAUCUGUAGCUGGUCUGAGAGGACGACCAGCCACACUGGGACUGAGACACGGCCCAGACUCCUACGGGAGGCAGCAGUGGGGAAUUUUGGACAAUGGGCGCAAGCCUGAUCCGGCCAUGCCGCGUGCAGGAUGAAGGCCUUCGGGUUGUAAACUGCUUUUGUACGGAACGAAAAGCUUCGGGCUAAUACCCUGGAGUCAUGACGGUACCGUAAGAAUAAGCACCGGCUAACUACGUGCCAGCAGCCGCGGUAAGAC